GGUUGACCUCGGAUCAGGUAGGGAUACCCGCUGAACUUAAGCAUAUCAAUAAGCGGAGGAAAAGAAACCAACAGGGAUUGCCUCAGUAACGGCGAGUGAAGCGGCAAGAGCUCAAAUUUGAAAGCUGGCCCCUCCGGGGUCCGCGUUGUAAUUUGCAGAGGAUGCUUUGGGUGCGGCCCCCGUCUAAGUGCCCUGGAACGGGCCGUCAGAGAGGGUGAGAAUCCCGUCUUGGGCGGGGUGUCCGUGCCCGUGUAAAGCUCCUUCGACGAGUCGAGUUGUUUGGGAAUGCAGCUCUAAAUGGGUGGUAAAUUUCAUCUAAAGCUAAAUACUGGCCGGAGACCGAUAGCGCACAAGUAGAGUGAUCGAAAGAUGAAAAGCACUUUGAAAAGAGAGUUAAACAGCACGUGAAAUUGUUGAAAGGGAAGCGCUUGCGACCAGACUCGCCCGCGGGGUUCAGCCGGCAUUCGUGCCGGUGUACUUCCCCGUGGGCGGGCCAGCGUCGGUUUGGGCGGCCGGUCAAAGGCCCCUGGAAUGUAGUGCCCUCCGGGGCACCUUAUAGCCAGGGGUGCAAUGCGGCCAGCCCGGACCGAGGAACGCGCUUCGGCUCGGACGCUGGCAUAAUGGUCGCAAACGACC
rnacentral:rRNA from 1 species